GAUGAACGCUGGCGGCGUGCUUAACACAUGCAAGUCGAACGAUUAACCCACCUUCGGGUGGUUAUAAAGUGGCGAACGGGUGAGUAACACGUGACCAACCUACCUUUCACUUUGGGAUAACUCAGAGAAAUUUGAGCUAAUACCAAAUACUCCGGUUUCUUCGCAUGGAGAGACCGGGAAAGUUCCGGCGGUGGAAGAUGGGGUCGCGGCCUAUUAGGUAGUUGGUGGGGUAAUGGCCUACCAAGCCUGCGAUAGGUAGCCGGGUUGAGAGACUGAUCGGCCACAUUGGGACUGAGAUACGGCCCAGACUCCUACGGGAGGCAGCAGUGGGGAAUUUUGCGCAAUGGGCGAAAGCCUGACGCAGCAACGCCGCGUGCGGGAUGAAGGCCUUCGGGUUGUAAACCGCUUUCAGUAGGGAAGAACUUUGACGGUACCUACAGAAGAAGCUCCGGCUAACUACGUGCCAGCCGCCGCAGUAAUAC
rnacentral:rRNA from 1 species